GAUGAACGCUGGCGGCGUGCCUAAUACAUGCAAGUCGAGCGAACGGACGAGAGGCUUGCUUUUCUGAUGUUAGCGGCGGACGGGUGAGUAACACGUGGAUAACCUACCUAUAAGACUGGGAUAACUUCGGGAAACCGGAGCUAAUACCGGAUAAUAUUUUGAACCGCAUGGUUCAAAAGUGAAAGACGGUCUUGCUGUCACUUAUAGAUGGAUCCGCGCUGCAUUAGCUAGUUGGUAAGGUAACGGCUUACCAAGGCAACGAUGCAUAGCCGACCUGAGAGGGUGAGCGGCCACACUGGAACUGAGACACGGUCCAGACUCCUACGGGAGGCAGCAGUAGGGAAUCUUCCGCAAUGGGCGAAAGCCUGACGGAGCAACGCCGCGUGAGUGAUGAAGGUCUUCGGAUCGUAAAACUCUGUUAUUAGGGAAGAACAUAUGUGUAAGUAACUGUGCACAUCUUGACGGUACCUAAUCAGAAAGCCACGGCUAACUACGUGCCAGCAGCCGCGGUAAUACGUAGGUGGCAAGCGUUAUCCGGAAUUAUUGGGCGUAAAGCGCGCGUAGGCGGUUUUUUAAGUCUGAUGUGAAAGCCCACGGCUCAACCGUGGAGGGUCAUUGGAAACUGGAAAACUUGAGUGCAGAAGAGGAAAGUGGAAUUCCAUGUGUAGCGGUGAAAUGCGCAGAGAUGUGGAGGAACACCAGUGGCGAAGGCGACUUUCUGGUCUGUAACUGACGCUGAUGUGCGAAAGCGUGGGGAUCAAACAGGAUUAGAUACCCUGGUAGUCCACGCCGUAAACGAUGAGUGCUAAGUGUUAGGGGGUUUCCGCCCCUUAGUGCUGCAGCUAACGCAUUAAGCACUCCGCCUGGGGAGUACGACCGCAAGGUUGAAACUCAAAGGAAUUGACGGGGGCCCGCACAAGCGGUGGAGCAUGUGGUUUAAUUCGAAGCAACGCGAAGAACCUUACCAAAUCUUGACAUCCUUUGACAACUCUAGAGAUAGAGCCUUCCCCUUCGGGGGACAAAGUGACAGGUGGUGCAUGGUUGUCGUCAGCUCGUGUCGUGAGAUGUUGGGUUAAGUCCCGCAACGAGCGCAACCCUUAAGCUUAGUUGCCAUCAUUAAGUUGGGCACUCUAAGUUGACUGCCGGUGACAAACCGGAGGAAGGUGGGGAUGACGUCAAAUCAUCAUGCCCCUUAUGAUUUGGGCUACACACGUGCUACAAUGGACAAUACAAAGGGCAGCGAAACCGCGAGGUCAAGCAAAUCCCAUAAAGUUGUUCUCAGUUCGGAUUGUAGUCUGCAACUCGACUACAUGAAGCUGGAAUCGCUAGUAAUCGUAGAUCAGCAUGCUACGGUGAAUACGUUCCCGGGUCU
rnacentral:rRNA from 1 species